rnacentral:rRNA from 1 species
AUUGCGCAAUGGAGGAAACUCUGACGCAGCGACGCCGCGUGAGCGAUGAAGGUCUUCNNNUCGUANAGCACUGUCCUCAGGGANGAGNAAAGCGAGGGUACCUGAGGAGGAAGCCCCGGCUAACUACGUGCCAGCAGCCGCGGUAAUACGUAGGGGGCAAGCGUUGUCCGGAAUUAUUGGGCGUAAAGGGUGCGUAGGCGGCUUUUUAAGUCAGAUGUGAAAGACCACAGCUUAACUGUGGGGUUGCAUUUGAAACUGGAGAGCUUGAGUAUCGGAGAGGGUAGUGGAAUUCCUGGAGUAGCGGUGAAAUGCGUAGAUAUCAGGAGGAACACCAGUGGCGAAGGCGACUACCUGGACGAAAACUGACGCUGAGGCACGAAAGCUAGGGGAGCAAACA